GAUGAACGCUGGCGGCGUGCCUAAUACAUGCAAGUCGAGCGAACGGACGAGAAGCUUGCUUCUCUGAUGUUAGCGGCUGACGGGUGAGUAACACGUGGAUAACCUACAUAUAAUACUGGGAUAACUUCGGGAAAACAGAGCUAAUAACGGAUCAUAUUUUGUACCGCAUGGAUCAAAAGUGAAAGACGGCUUUCCUGUCACUUCUAGAUGGAUCCGCGCUGCAUUAGCUAGUUGGUAAGGUAACGGCAUACCAAGGCUACGAUGCAUAGCCGACCUGAGAGGGUGAUCGGCCACACUGGAACUGAGACACGGUCCAGACUCCUACGGGAGGCAGCAGUAGGGAAUCUUCCGCAAAGGGCGAAAGCCUGACGGAGCAACGCCGCGUGAGUGAUGAAGGUCUUCGGAUCGUAAAACUCUGUUAUUAGGGAAGAACAGAUGUGUAAGUAACUGUGCACGUCUUGACGGUACCUAAUCAGAAAGCCACGGCUAACUACGUG
rnacentral:rRNA from 1 species